rnacentral:rRNA from 1 species
AUAAACGCUGGCGGCGUGCCUAAUACAUGCAAGUCGAACGAGAGAGGACCAGCUUGCUGGUCUGAUCGAGUGGCGAACGGGUGAGUAAUACAUAAGCAACCUGCCCACGAAGACUGGGAUAAUCUCUGGAAACGGGGACUAAGACCGGAUAGGUGUGCAUACCGCAUGGUAAGUACAUUAAAGGUGAGAAACACUGGUGGAUGGGCUUAUGGCGCAUUAGUUAGUUGGUGAGGUAACGGCCCACCAAGACGAUGAUGCGUAGCCGGCCUGAGAGGGUGAACGGCCACAUUGGGACUGAGACACGGCCCAGACUCCUACGGGAGGCAGCAGUAGGGAAUUUUCGGCAAUGGGGGGAACCCUGACCGAGCAACGCCGCGUGAGUGAAGAAGGUCUUCGGAUUGUAAAACUCUGUUGUAAGGGAAGAACGGUGAGAUGGAUAAUCUCAAGUGACGGUACCUUACCAGAAAGCCACGGCUAACUACGUGCCAGCAGCCGCGGUAAUACGUAGGUGGCGAGCGUUAUCCGGAAUUAUUGGGCGUAAAGGGUGCGUAGGCGGCAUGAUAAGUUCGUGGUUAAAGCGUGGGGCUCAACCCCAUAAAGCCACGGAUACUGUCAAGCUAGAGUACUGGAGAGGGUAGUGGAAUUCCAUGUGUAGCGGUAAAAUGCGUAGAUAUAUGGAGGAACACCGGUGGCGAAGGCGGCUACCUAGACAGAGACCCACGCUGAACCACGACAGCGUGGGGAGCAAAUAGGAUUAGAUACCCUAGUAGUCCACGCUGUAAACGAUGAAUGCUAAGUAUUGGGGCAACUCAGUGCUGCAGUUAACGCAAUAAGCAUUCCGCCUGUGGAGUAUGCACGCAAGUGUGAAACAUAAAGGAAUUGACGGGGGCCCGCACAAGCGGAGGAACAUGUGGUUUAAUUCGAUGAUACGCGAGGAACCUUACCCGGGCUUAAAUUGCAACUGACGGAUUUGGAAACAGAUCUUCCUUCGGGCAGUUGUGAAGGUGCUGCAUGGUUGUCGUCAGCUCGUGUCGUGAGAUGUUGGGUUAAGUCCCGCAACGAGCGCAACCCUUGUCUUCAGUUACCAAUAUUAAGUUAGGGACUCUGGAGAGACUGCCGGUGAUAAACCGGAGGAAGGUGGGGAUGACGUCAAAUCAUCAUGCCCCUUAUGGCCUGGGCUACACACGUACUACAAUGGCUGUUACAACGUGGAGCGACCUCGUGAGAGGAAGCGAAUCACUUAAAGACAGUCUCAGUUCGGAUUGAAGUCUGCAACUCGACUUCAUGAAGCUGGAAUCGCUAGUAAUCGCGGAUCAGCAUGCCGCGGUGAAUACGUUCUCGGGCCUUGUACACACCGCCCGUCAUACCAUGAGAGCUGGUAAUACCCGAAGCCGGUGGCCUAACUGCAAAGAAGGAGCCGUCGAAGGUAGGACUGGUGAUUGGGGU